GAUGAACGCUAGCUACAGGCUUAACACAUGCAAGUCGAGGGGCAUCAGGAAGAAAGCUUGCUUUCUUUGCUGGCGACCGGCGCACGGGUGAGUAACACGUAUCCAACCUGCCCUUUACUCGGGGAUAGCCUUUCGAAAGAAAGAUUAAUACCCGAUAGCAUAAUGAUUCCGCAUGGUUUCAUUAUUAAAGGAUUCCGGUAAAGGAUGGGGAUGCGUUCCAUUAGGUUGUUGGUGAGGUAACGGCUCACCAAGCCUUCGAUGGAUAGGGGUUCUGAGAGGAAGGUCCCCCACAUUGGAACUGAGACACGGUCCAAACUCCUACGGGAGGCAGCAGUGAGGAAUAUUGGUCAAUGGGCGCUAGCCUGAACCAGCCAAGUAGCGUGAAGGAUGAAGGCUCUAUGGGUCGUAAACUUCUUUUAUAUAAGAAUAAAGUGCAGUAUGUAUACUGUUUUGUAUGUAUUAUAUGAAUAAGGAUCGGCUAACUCCGUGCCAGCAGCCGCGGUAAUACGGAGGAUCCGAGCGUUAUCCGGAUUUAUUGGGUUUAAAGGGAGCGUAGGUGGACUGGUAAGUCAGUUGUGAAAGUUUGCGGCUCAACCGUAAAAUUGCAGUUGAUACUGUCAGUCUUGAGUACAGUAGAGGUGGGCGGAAUUCGUGGUGUAGCGGUGAAAUGCUUAGAUAUCACGAAGAACUCCGAUUGCGAAGGCAGCUCACUGGA
rnacentral:rRNA from 1 species